rnacentral:rRNA from 1 species
CAAUAGCGUAUAUUUAAGUUGUUGCAGUUAAAAAGCUCGUAGUCGGAUUUCUGGUGGGAGCGAUCGGUCUGGCGCUUAGCGCGAGUACUUGCAUCGUCUCCGGCCAUCCUUGGGGAGAGUCUGUCUGGCAUUAGGUUGUCGGGCAGAGGAUCCUCAUCGUUUACUGUGAAAAAAUUAGAGUGUUCAAAGCAGGCUUAUGCCGUUGAAUAUAUUAGCAUGGAAUAAUAAGAUAGGACUUUGGUACUAUUUUGUUGGUUUGCGCACCAAAGUAAUGAUUAAUAGGGACAGUUGGGGGUAUUCGUAUUCCGUUGUCAGAGGUGAAAUUCUUGGAUUUACGGAAGACGAACUACUGCGAAAGCAUUUACCAAGGAUGUUUUCAUUAA